rnacentral:rRNA from 1 species
CUCCUACGGGAGGCAGCAGUAGGGAAUUUUCGUCAAUGGGGGGAACCCUGAACGAGCAAUGCCGCGUGAGUGAGGAAGGUCUUCGGAUCGUAAAGCUCUGUUGUAAGAGAAAAACGGCACUCAUAGGGAAUGAUGAGUGAGUGAUGGUAUCUUACCAGAAAGUCACGGCUAACUACGUGCCAGCAGCCGCGGUAAUACGUAGGUGGCGAGCGUUAUCCGGAAUGAUUGGGCGUAAAGGGUGCGUAGGUGGCAGAUCAAGUCUGGAGUAAAAGGUAUGGGCUCAACCCGUACUGGCUCUGGAAACUGAUCAGCUAGAGAACAGAAGAGGACGGCGGAACUCCAUGUGUAGCGGUAAAAUGCGUAGAUAUAUGGAAGAACACCGGUGGCGAAGGCGGCCGUCUGGUCUGGAUUCUGACACUGAAGCACGAAAGCGUGGGGAGCAAAUAGGAUUAGAUACCCUAGUAGUCCACGCCGUAAACGAUGAGAACUAGGUGUUGGGGGAAUAACUCAGUGCCGCAGUUAACGCAAUAAGUUCUCCGCCUGGGGAGUAUGCACGCAAGUGUGAAACUCAAAGGAAUUGACGGGGGCCCGCACAAGCGGUGGAGUAUGUGGUUUAAUUCGAAGCAACGCGAAGAACCUUACCAGGCCUUGACAUCCCUUGCAGAGAUAUAGAGAUAUAUCCGAGGUUAACAAGGAGACAGGUGGUGCAUGGUUGUCGUCAGCUCGUGUCGUGAGAUGUUGGGUUAAGUCCCGCAACGAGCGCAACCCUUGUGAUAUGUUACUAACAUUGAGUUGAGGACUCAUAUCAGACUGCCGGUGAUAAACCGGAGGAAGGUGGGGAUGACGUCAAAUCAUCAUGCCCCUUAUGGCCUGGGCUACACACGUACUACAAUGGCGUCUACAAAGAGCGGCAAGCCUGUGAAGGCAAGCGAAUCUCAUAAAGGACGUCUCAGUUCGGAUUGAAGUCUGCAACCCGACUUCAUGAAGCUGGAAUCGCUAGUAAUCGCGAAUCAGCAUGUCGCGGUGAAUACGUUCUCGGGCCUUGUACACACCGC